rnacentral:rRNA from 1 species
UACGGAGGGGGCUAGCGUUAUUCGGAAUUAUUGGGCGUAAAGGGCGCGUAGGCGGCCCUGUAAGUCAAAGGUGAAAUCCCUCGGCUCAACUGAGGAACUGCCUUUGAAACUGUCGGGCUUGAGGCCGGGAGGGGGUAGCGGAAUUCCCAGUGUAGCGGUGAAAUGCGUAGAUAUUGGGAGGAACACCGGUGGCGAAGGCGGCUACCUGGACCGGUUCUGACGCUGAUGCGCGAAAGCGUGGGUAGCAAACAGG